CAGGCGGUGCCAUCCCGACACAAUCAUCAGGAUCAAUCUUCAGCCCUAGAGGAUCCUCCUUGAAGGAUGUACUAAUCGUACUCUCCCAAUUGAUGAUCGUCUUCAUACCAUGGGUGUGUAUCAAAAAAAACUUACAGUAUAUGUUAAUAAGCCAUUUAGUAUGUAUUAUUUGCUCAUAUACUUUAUAUUGAUGAAUGCUAU
rnacentral:lncRNA from 1 species